UCUAACGUCAGUUAACCCCACUUAGAAA
rnacentral:piRNA from 1 species